rnacentral:rRNA from 1 species
UACAGAGGGGGCAAGCGUUAUUCGGAAUUAUUGGGCGUAAAGGGCGCGUAGGCGGCCUGGCAAGUGGAAGGUGAAAUCCCUCGGCUUAACCGAGGAACUGCCUUCCAAACUGCUUGGCUUGAGUCCGGGAGAGGUGAGUGGAAUUCCCAGUGUAGCGGUGAAAUGCGUAGAUAUUGGGAGGAACACCAGUGGCGAAGGCGGCUCACUGGACCGGUACUGACGCUGAUGCGCGAAAGCGUGGGGAGCAAACGGG